rnacentral:rRNA from 1 species
ACGCUAGCUACAGGCUUAACACAUGCAAGUCGAGGGGCAGCAUAGUCUUAGCUUGCUAAGGCCGAUGGCGACCGGCGCACGGGUGAGUAACACGUAUCCAACCUGCCGUCUACUCUUGGACAGCCUUCUGAAAGGAAGAUUAAUACAAGAUGGCAUCAUGAGUCCGCAUGUUCACAUGAUUAAAGGUAUUCCGGUAGACGAUGGGGAUGCGUUCCAUUAGAUAGUAGGCGGGGUAACGGCCCACCUAGUCUUCGAUGGAUAGGGGUUCUGAGAGGAAGGUCCCCCACAUUGGAACUGAGACACGGUCCAAACUCCUACGGGAGGCAGCAGUGAGGAAUAUUGGUCAAUGGGCGAGAGCCUGAACCAGCCAAGUAGCGUGAAGGAUGACUGCCCUAUGGGUUGUAAACUUCUUUUAUAAAGGAAUAAAGUCGGGUAUGGAUACCCGUUUGCAUGUACUUUAUGAAUAAGGAUCGGCUAACUCCGUGCCAGCAGCCGCGGUAAUACGGAGGAUCCGAGCGUUAUCCGGAUUUAUUGGGUUUAAAGGGAGCGUAGAUGGAUGUUUAAGUCAGUUGUGAAAGUCUGCGGCUCAACCGUAAAAUUGCAGUUGAUACUGGAUAUCUUGAGUGCAGUUGAGGCAGGCGGAAUUCGUGGUGUAGCGGUGAAAUGCUUAGAUAUCACGAAGAACUCCGAUUGCGAAGGCAGCCUGCUAAGCUGCAACUGACAUUGAGGCUCGAAAGUGUGGGUAUCAAACAGGAUUAGAUACCCUGGUAGUCCACACGGUAAACGAUGAAUACUCGCUGUUUGCGAUAUACUGCAAGCGGCCAAGCGAAAGCGUUAAGUAUUCCACCUGGGGAGUACGCCGGCAACGGUGAAACUCAAAGGAAUUGACGGGGGCCCGCACAAGCGGAGGAACAUGUGGUUUAAUUCGAUGAUACGCGAGGAACCUUACCCGGGCUUAAAUUGCAGAUGAAUUACGGUGAAAGCCGUAAGCCGCAAGGCAUCUGUGAAGGUGCUGCAUGGUUGUCGUCAGCUCGUGCCGUGAGGUGUCGGCUUAAGUGCCAUAACGAGCGCAACCCUUGUUGUCAGUUACUAACAGGUUCCGCUGAGGACUCUGACAAGACUGCCAUCGUAAGAUGUGAGGAAGGUGGGGAUGACGUCAAAUCAGCACGGCCCUUACGUCCGGGGCUACACACGUGUUACAAUGGGGGGUACAGAGGGCCGCUACCACGCGAGUGGAUGCCAAUCCCCAAAACCUCUCUCAGUUCGGACUGGAGUCUGCAACCCGACUCCACGAAGCUGGAUUCGCUAGUAAUCGCGCAUCAGCCACGGCGCGGUGAAUACGUUCCCGGGCCUUGUACACACCGCCCGUCAAGCCAUGGGAGCCGGGGGUACCUGAAGUGCGUAACCGCGAGGAGCGCCCUAGGGUAAAACUGGUGACUGGGGCU